GAAAACCUGACCAGGUCCUGACCUAUGUAGGAUUGACAGGCUCAAAAUAUCUUUCUUUACUAUAUGGGUGGUGGUGCAUGGCCGUUUUUAGUUGGUCGAGUGGUGUGUCUGGUUAGUUCCGCUAACGAACAAGACCUUUUCCUGUGUAGUUGUGACUGACAAGCUUGAUUGAUGGAGUCUUCUUAGGGGGACGUUGCGCUGUUAGCGCAAGGAAGUUCAAGGCAAUAA
rnacentral:rRNA from 1 species